rnacentral:rRNA from 1 species
GACGUAGGGCGCGAGCGUUGUCCGGAUUUAUUGGGCGUAAAGAGCUCGUAGGCGGCUUGUCGCGUCGACUGUGAAAACCCGCGGCUUAACUGCGGGACUGCAGUCGAUACGGGCAGGCUAGAGUUCGGUAGGGGAGACUGGAAUUCCUGGUGUAGCGGUGAAAUGCGCAGAUAUCAGGAGGAACACCGGUGGCGAAGGCGGGUCUCUGGGCCGUAACUGACGCUGAGGAGCGAAAGCGUGGGGAGCGAACAGG